GGGGGGGCGACCGACCGACCUCACUGUACUCCUGUAGCUCUAAGAUUUAGAAAGCCUUUUUCUCACACCUUUAUUGUGAGGGAGGUGGGCUUUUGUACACAACGGAUGUGCAAAAUUUCAUCAUUGUCUGCACUACCAGCCUCAGACAGUUGAGAAAGUGAUUCUUCUAGUGCCAGAAGAAUUGGAGUUAUAUGGUCCCUUCCAGUGCCUUCAUCCUAUGAGUAUCUAUAAUCAUCUUUCUGAUUUAGC